UAAAAUAUAUUAUAUAUAUAAUUCACGUGUAAUCACUGAAUUUUGGCCGGGUUGGAUUUUGGGCCAGGCUGGCCUCGUAUGGGCCCAAUGAUCGGGCCCAUUAAAAUUUAAUUUUGAACUUGUUUUAGCCCAUUUUUAAUUGCUGUUUUAAAUAUUAAUAAAAUAGUAGUAAAAAAAUCUCAAAAAAAUAUAAAAAAAUACAAAAAAUAUAAAUUACAUUUUAACCCCUCUACUUUUUAAAAUUUACAUUUUGACCCCAAAAUUUUCUUUAAAUUACAUAUUGACCCCUAAUAUUUCGUAAAUUACAUUCGGGCCCCUAAACUUUCCAGAAAUUACAUUUUAGCCCCAUAUUUUCCUAAAAUUACGUUUUUGCCCCAAAAACUUUGCACACUCUACAAUUCAGUCCUUCUGGGCAUGACAAGAUUGGCCCCAACCAGCAUCCGGGCGUGCACCGCACCCUACGCCUGACACCGCCAAUCAGCCAUGCUCCCCACCUCCAUGCCUCCUGAAAACAAGAAGGAAAACGACAGGAAAUUGAAGCAUUUAAAAGAAAAUUGAAGGAAAGGGAAGGGGGGAUUUUUUCGGCAACCAAAGAAACAAAAAAAAUAGCAGAGAAAAAAGAAAAAAUAGCAGCAAGCAAAGCCUCCACCAUUGCCCUGGUGGAAACACCACCACCGCAACCACCAUCACUACAACCACCAAAGCCACCACCUAAAAAACCCAAUCAAGAAGCAAUAAGAAUUUGAGAAAACCCAAGAAAAAGCUUCCAAAAAUCAGCAGCCAAGAACCUUUUAAAAAAAAAAUCAUUUACCUUGGAAUCGCCGGUCACCGAGUGUGGAGAGGAGCCGAGGGCGGAGGAGGUCGGCGCAAGUGGCGGCGGCGGUUAUGGGUCUUGGGGAAUAAGAGAAGAAGAAGAAAGAAAGGAGGGAAGAAGAAAGGAGAGAAAAAAAAUAGAAAAAGAAAGAAAAUAAAAUAAAAUAAAAAGAUAAACAAAAAAAAAAUCAGUCGGGUCAAUCCGACCCGACCCGUCCGACCCGCGACCCGACAACAGGCCGAAUCAGCAGCAGCAAGAUACCCAGCAAGCCCAGCAAAUUAGGCCCAAAAAGGGUAGCCCAAGAGAAAAAAAACAAGCAGCAAAAAAAAAAACAAAGCAAAGCAGAAAAAAUAAAGGAGGAGCAGGCCCAAGCUGUUCCAAGCCCAGCGCCAGAAGCGGGCCA
rnacentral:lncRNA from 1 species